rnacentral:rRNA from 1 species
UACGUAAGUGGCGAGCGUUAUCCGGAAUCAUUGGGCGUAAAGCGCGCGCAGGCGGUCUUCCAAGUCAGUGGUGAAAGCCUGGAGCUCAACUCCAGAACUGCCAUUGAAACUGUUGGACUUGAGUACGAGAGAGGUGAGUGGAAUUCCCAGUGUAGAGGUGAAAUUCGUAGAUAUUGGGAAGAACACCAGUGGCGAAGGCGGCUCACUGGCUCGUAACUGACGCUCAGGCGCGACAGCGUGGGGGAUCAAACAGG